UUAGCUAUUAAUUUCUAUUGAAUUUUUUAUUGUGAUUAAAAGAGUUUUUAGCUAAUUUUAUUUUAAGAUUAUUUUUUAUUGUUGAAAAAAUUAAAAAUAAAUUGUUUAAAACAAAAAUUAAAAUUUAUAAUAUUUCUGUUUUUUAUUUUUAGUUAAAAAUAAAAAUAAUAAAUAUGAAAAAUAGAAAAAUUUUGUUAUAAAUUAAAUUGGUUUUUUAAAAUUAAAAAUAUUUUUUAUAAAUUUAUUUUUUUUUAUUUUUUUAGAAAAAAAAAAAUUUAAUUAUUAUUAUUGAAAUUAAUUUAAUUAUUUAGUAAAAAAUUUUAUAUUAAAUAAAUUAAAUAAUAAAUGUUUUUUAAAUUCUUUGGGGAUUUAUUUUUUGAUUUUUUAUUUCUGCUCAUUGUUAAAGAAAAGCACUUUUAGCGUGAUUGGUCAAAGGUA
rnacentral:misc_RNA from 1 species